rnacentral:rRNA from 1 species
UACGUAGGGGGCGAGCGUUACCCGGAUUUACUGGGCGUAAAGCGCGUGUAGGCGGCUGGUCAAGCGUGGUGUGAAAUCUCCGGGCUCAACCCGGAAACUGCAUUGCGAACUGACCUAGCUGGAGUGCAGGAGAGGGCAGCGGGAUUCCCGGUGUAGCGGUGAAAUGCGCAGAUAUCAGGAGGAACACCGAUGGCGAAGGCAGCUUACUGGGCCAAUACUGACGCUGAGGAGCGAAAGCGUGGGGAGCGAACAGG